rnacentral:rRNA from 1 species
GAUUAAGUUAUUAAGGGCGCACGGUGGAUGCCUUGGCACUAGAAGCCGAUGAAGGACGUUACUAACGACGAUAUGCUUUGGGGAGCUGUAAGUAAGCUUUGAUCCAGAGAUUUCCGAAUGGGGAAACCCAGCAUGAGUUAUGUCAUGUUAUCGAUAUGUGAAUACAUAGCAUAUCAGAAGGCACACCCGGAGAACUGAAACAUCUUAGUACCCGGAGGAAGAGAAAGAAAAUUCGAUUCCCUUAGUAGCGGCGAGCGAAACGGGAAGAGCCCAAACCAACAAGCUUGCUUGUUGGGGUUGUAGGACACUCUAUACGGAGUUACAAAGGACGACAUUAGACGAAUCAUCUGGAAAGAUGAAUCAAAGAAGGUAAUAAUCCUGUAGUCGAAAAUGUUGUCUCUCUUGAGUGGAUCCUGAGUACGACGGAGCACGUGAAAUUCCGUCGGAAUCUGGGAGGACCAUCUCCUAAGGCUAAAUACUCUCUAGUGACCGAUAGUGAACCAGUACCGUGAGGGAAAGGUGAAAAGUACCCCGGAAGGGGAGUGAAAUAGAACCUGAAACCGUGUGCUUACAAGUAGUCAGAGCCCGUUAAUGGGUGAUGGCGUGCCUUUUGUAGAAUGAACCGGCGAGUUACGAUUUGAUGCAAGGUUAAGCAGUAAAUGUGGAGCCGUAGCGAAAGCGAGUCUGAAUAGGGCGUUUAGUAUUUGGUCGUAGACCCGAAACCAGGUGAUCUACCCUUGGUCAGGUUGAAGUUCAGGUAACACUGAAUGGAGGACCGAACCGACUUACGUUGAAAAGUGAGCGGAUGAACUGAGGGUAGCGGAGAAAUUCCAAUCGAACCUGGAGAUAGCUGGUUCUCUCCGAAAUAGCUUUAGGGCUAGCCUCAAGUGAUGAUUAUUGGAGGUAGAGCACUGUUUGGACGAGGGGCCCCUCUCGGGUUACCGAAUUCAGACAAACUCCGAAUGCCAAUUAAUUUAACUUGGGAGUCAGAACAUGGGUGAUAAGGUCCGUGUUCGAAAGGGAAACAGCCCAGACCACCAGCUAAGGUCCCAAAAUAUAUGUUAAGUGGAAAAGGAUGUGGCGUUGCCCAGACAACUAGGAUGUUGGCUUAGAAGCAGCCAUCAUUUAAAGAGUGCGUAAUAGCUCACUAGUCGAGUGA